UGCUCAUCGAAAACGAAACCUCUCUCCUCUCAGACGCCUAACACUCAUAGCUUGCCGUCUCUCUCAUGAAAUUUCCCUCUUCAUCCUUACUCACAUGGCCAAAAACACCAGUUGAUGUCGAACCAACAGCCUAUCCUCUAGCAUUUGCAGUGGGUAAAUUUCUCUAUCAUGUCUCCCUCAUCUGCAUACCAAAUUGCUAUUCCAAUUCUCUUUUUGGGCUUUUGAUUUUCAUAACUUUCUGCUGGUUUUUGAGCAGCUCAGGUCUAAGUUUUCAAAUACUCUUGAACAUCCCCACACCUCCUUUCUCUAUUUCUGUCUAGUUGACUCAUCACCAUCACAAUCCCCAUAGCAGAUCUACCUUUUCCGAAUCGUGAAUGUUUUCUCAGAUCCACACGAUUUGACUCCCACCCUGCCCGCCGGUAGCUCCCUCCAUCACCGCUGAGUUUUGGAUGGAGAACCUGAUCUCGCUGGUCAACAAAAUCCAAAGAGCUUGCACAGCUCUCGGUGACCACGGCGAAACCCGUGCAUUACCGACUCUUUGGGACUCGCUUCCCUCCAUCGCUGCCGUCAGUGGCCAGGAAUUGUUAGUCGGCAUCCUCUAGUGUUCCAGCCUCAUAAGAUUGAUGAACGCAGCAGAGAAUAUGUGGAAUUUCUCCACCUUCCAAGGAAAAGGUUCACAGAUUUUGGUUCAUUAUGUUGCAAAGUGGAAGGGUAUCACUUUCAUGACAAGUAGACAAGGACUUGGUGUUGGUGGAGGAACGGUAAGGAUAGAUUGGUGCUGCUCUUCACUUGUAUAUUUAGUACUAUAGGUCAUUCUAACAGUAAUUUCAAUUGCUGUCACUCUCCUCUUAAACGACAAUUUAGGAACCAACCAAUUUUAUGCUCAUACAAUUUAGUUCCCAGAAUAACUAUCUAGACCGUAAACUCAAUUACUUUGUAGCAAAACAGUUCUGAUUAGAUAAUCCAUCACCAAUGAAGUUGCUACCUCUAACUCCCAGUCCCAUAGGCUUACCAUCAACAAGUAUUCUGCUUUUGAAACCGCUAGGAAGCUUCCAUGGGUAAUACCCUUUCUUGUAAACUUAAUAUAUAAAUAAAAUUGAUCACAUAGUGCAGUCAAGUAGUUGUUAGUUUCUAGAUUGCUUCAUGACCUUCUCUGUUGUAUUAGCAUCCAUUUUAAUAAAUUGAUAAGCUUUUGGAAUUGAUAAUCUUUUGGUUGGGAGUUGGGACUUGUGAGUAAUUAUGUUUCUUUUAAUCUCUUAUAAAAUUGUAGUCUAAGCAGUCAUGGAUAGGUGCUAACUUUUUUUGGACUUCUGCAGAAACUGCCCUGCAGCACAGCUCUCUUUGGUUUUUGUUUUACCCUACUUAGUGGUCUUCAAAUAUACUGAAAUUUUGACAUGUUUCUGUUUUGUUAGUUAACAAAGGAUCUGGAAAGUUUCAUCUUAUUCCAAAGUAAAGUGAAUUUUCGGUGAUUCUUCCAAAUUUGGUCUGCAUUUGGGAAAGUUCCAGCAUUUUUAAUGUAUCCUCUGAAUUUCUGUUGAGAUUUGAACUCCUAUUUGAAUCAUUUAACUUCUGGUUUUUAUAUAUGUUGAAUUAUGCAUUUCAAAUAGUUGUUUCAAAACUGAUUUCAAGUCAAUUGGACUUACAAUGAAUUUUUGGUGAAUUUUCUAAGUUGACCAUGCUGCUGAGAUUUUUUUUUUAUAUGACUCCUGCAGUUCAGUCAGAUUGUGUUCUUCUUUUUCCUUGCUGUCCUAAAUCCAAAUUCUAUGAAAAUUCAGUAUGUUCUACCUUAACAUGUUUACUAUGAGUAUGCAAAAUUUCAAGUUCAUGGCUAUACAAAUGGACUUUAAUAAAUUCCCAAAGCUAAGUUGUUCAUGCCUUAACAUUCCAGUUCACUUAUGUCUCCCUUUUGAUGUGUGAUGCAUAAUUUGACUCUUUCGUGUCGAUUUUACUGAGAUCGCCAUGUCAAUUCCAUAUAUAUAUAUAUAUAUAUAUA